UUUUUUUUUUUUUAUGGCCACGUGCCAUACAAGACAUGAUGGCCUUGUGGCUAACAUGUCACACCUGAUAUUGAGAAGUCCUGGUUCAACCUCUAGAUUGGAACUUUUUUCAUAAAUAUUUCUAAACUGUUAUUCACUGACCGUGCUCUAUGAUCUCAUAUUUUACAUGCACAUGACUGCUAUCAAUUAGUCAGUGAGCGACAAAAUUUGUGACCAUGUAUAUGUUAUAACCCCCCUUCCCCCAACCCUCCAAGUAACCCAUAAAGUCUGGCCGAGACUAUGUUUUAGAAAUGAACAAUAUGCUAUUCCAUUUUUGCGAGUGCAAAAUAUUUUGAGUGUUAUGAACUCCAAAUGCCACUGUGACAACAGUUUCUUUGGGUCUUUUAACUCCAUAUUCCUUGCCAAUAUCCAAUGAUGUAAAGAAUUAGACUUCAUUUGAACUCUUUUUUUUUUCCUGUCAAUGUGGUGAGUUGGCCAGCCAAUGGGAACAGUUAUAUUGAUGCCUACUUUCUUGUUGCCUUGACUGUUACUGUCACAGGAAACUCACAAGAGCGUGAAGCAUGUUAGUUGCACUAUAGGACAAAAUAUAUGUGACUCAAGUGGAAAAAGAAAAAUGCAACAGAAAAAACCCAAGCCAAUAUUUGAAAGCAGUGGAGGUAUUGAAGAAAAGGACAAAAUUUACAAGUGAAGGUCAAGGUGGAGAUGAUUGUUGAGGAGACUCAAGUUGGAAUAUGGUUUUUCACUACUUUGUGAAAAGUGAAGCAAAGGCUUGGAGAGAGAUGCUUUGAGAAUUUAGUUUAGAUCAAGAGAAUCUGCUCAACAAGUGCAAUGCAGAUCCAAUGGGGCAAAAUCACAAAACCAGACCAGUAUUUUGGAAGAAGGCCAUCAGUCUGGGGUCAAGUAAUUAAGGAAACCACUGCAAGGGGGCCUGGAAUCCCCAUCCCCAAACCACACAUGUAAUAUCAGUCAAGAAACUUGGGGAUAUUUGUCAGCUACAGCCUUCUUGACUUCAAACCAAAGGCACAAUAAUACUUGAAUAUUUUAGGGAAAAUAUAUCUAUUAUUUUGCAUAACUGAAUUGUUGUUUGUAGUGACACUGUUAGAAAGCCAUGAACAAUGUAUACAAUCAUGGGCAUAAGAAAUAGACAUUAAAAAAAGAAAACACUGAAGACUAUUAAGAAUGUGAGGAUGGUGCUUUGGAGCAAUAUUAAACAUGUCUAUUGUUGACAGUAUAAUAAGGCAGUUUAAUUGUGAUAGUUUCAAUUUUUGACUACAAAUUGAUUGAACCCUAUAUGGAAACUUAUUCUGAAAUGGUAAGACUUUCUAGACAAUUGCUUUUAGAUUUUUAAUACAACUUUGCAUCCUUCAAAAAUUACGUGUCCCAUUGAUUCUCUCUAAAGUUUCACAUUCUUUUGUAGUACAUACAUGUAAGGAGAUUUUUGAACUAAUUCAUUUGAAACCAUAAAAAGGUAACAAUAAAAAAAUGAUAACUUGAAAAACA